GGAGAUAUGGCUCAAUUGGUGGAGAGCUCCUGCCCAGCAAGCAUGAGGUCAUGAGUUCAAAUCUCAUUACCACCA